CAAUGACUGAAGUAUACAGUGGCAACUUGAAUGAGGAAGAAAAGGAGGAAUUAUUAACUAAGUAAGAGACAUUUUGAACACAUGAAGACACAGAGAAAUCGAUCAUUACAGGGAUCAGAGUGCUAAAGUGAAGUCAACAUUUAGCCAAUUCAGUCUAGAAAAAAAAUCGAGAGCCAGCCACCUUGUACCUUGAAGACCAAGUUUAUUACAAUUUUCCUUAUAUGCACACCAGCUUGGGGCAUUACCCUCACUAUGCACAGCAAGUUGGGCCCUUGUUAUUUUAAACAUCAAGGAAAUGUCAAAUUGCUUUGGCAUUUGCUCCGAGGGAUCAGGUACGCCCGAUAUUUCUUCUUGUCGAUGAAGCUCAACACUCAAAUAAAGGAGCAAACACAGUAACCAGUAUGUUGCAUCACCAUGGUCUUGGAGAAGUAUUGCAGUGGACAAAACAAGAACAACAAAUUCAUAAGGAUGGACAAAGACAAAGACAAUCCUGGUACUGUAUUCCUGCCAGAGACUUUUUCAACGUCCUCAAAGCUUGUGCUACAGUGGAUCCAAAUGCUCUUCCUACUUCGAUUCCUCCCAGGGGUCUAGAUGCACACAGGCAAGCAGUGGUAUCUGUAUGAAGAUGUGCUCCAUAUUGUUUGAACAAGGAAAGUUGCCCAAAUCCAGUUGUCUAAAAUCCCCUCAUCAAGAUAGAAUCUCCUGAUGACAUUGACUUGGAAGUGCAGGAAAUGCAAAAUGACUGGACACAAUAACUCAAAUUGUAGACACUAGUUGUUAGAUAUUAUCUUUCAUGACCUUUCUACUUGUUAAAAAUUAUUGAUAUUUUAAUUUGUUAUUUGCCAUUGU